UGCUGACGAGCGGCGGACGGGUGCGUAACACGUAGGAAUCUGCCCGGUAGUGGGGGAUAGCCCGGAGAAAUCCGGAUUAAUACCGCAUACGCCCUAAGGGGGAAAGAUGGCCUCUUCUUGAAAGCUAUCACUAUCGGAUGAGCCUGCGUCGGAUUAGCUGGUUGGUAGGGUAAAGGCCUACCAAGGCAACGAUCCGUAGCUGGUCUGAGAGGAUGAUCAGCCACACUGGGACUGAGACACGGCCCAGACUCCUACGGGAGGCAGCAGUGGGGAAUAUUGCACAAUGGGCGCAAGCCUGAUGCAGCCAUGCCGCGUGUGUGAAGAAGGCCUUAGGGUUGUAAAGCGCUUUCAGCGAGGAGGAAAGGUGUAAAGUUAAUACCUUUAUCCUGUGACGUUACUCGCAGAAGAAGCACCGGCUAACUCCGUGCCAGCAGCCGCGGUAAUACGGAGGGUGCGAGCGUUAAUCGGAAUUACUGGGCGUAAAGCGUGCGUAGGCGGCUAGUUAAGUUGGAUGUGAAAGCCCCGGGCUCAACCUGGGAACUGCAUCCAAAACUGGGUAGCUAGAGUGCGGAAGAGGAGUGUGGAAUUUCCUGUGUAGCGGUGAAAUGCGUAGAUAUAGGAAGGAACACCAGUGGCGAAGGCGACACUCUGGUCUGACACUGACGCUGAGGUACGAAAGCGUGGGGAGCAAACA
rnacentral:rRNA from 1 species